rnacentral:lncRNA from 1 species
AUAGGAAACAAGGAAAGAAGGGGACAACCUUAGUACAUGCAACCUACACUGUAGUGUUUCAAUUUAGUAGUCUAGGGGGGCUGAUUAAGUGGUACUUAGGCUCAAAAGAAAAAGGAGCUUGAUUGGCUAAGUUGUUUGUUGCUUGAGGACAAGCAAAAGGCUAGGUGUGGGGGUAUUUGAUCAAGCAUAAUUUAGCCACAUUUUUAUUAUAUUUAUUACUGUUUAUUUACACAUUUUUCUAGCUUAAUUUGUGUUUUUGUUAUGUUUUUACAUAAAAGGAAGAAAUUGGAAAAAUGGAGAAAAAGUGCAGAAAAUGACAGAAAAGUGAUUGGGUCAGUGAUUUGCCCAAAUCACUACCCAAAUCGAGCUGAAGCAGAAACCUGGAGGCAACAGGCAGAGGUCAGUGAUUUGCCCGGGUCAGUGAUUUGCCCAAGUCACUCGAAGAAACUGGUCAAAUCACUCGCAGAGACAGAGACAGAAACUGGACUGAAUCCCAGAGAACGAUUUGCCCAGAUUGGGCAAGUGAUUUGCCCAAAUCACUCGCAGAAACUGCCCAAAUCACCUUGACAGCAGAAUUUACAGCAGAGGCGGGAAAAGAGCAGAAAAUCUAAAUUCAAAGAAAAGAAGUCCAAAUCCACUUCAAACACCACAAGAUCAGUCCCAAGAGUCACGCCCUUCACUUAGAGAGUUCCAUUCUCAAUCAAAUACAAAAUCCAAGGAGGAAUCAAAGACUACAAAGAAGACCAAAUCAAAUUGAAAUUCCAAAACCCUAAUCAAAUUGAAAUUGGGAUUCUCCAGCUAUAUAAGGGCAGCAUCCAAACCAGCAUAGCAUCAUCCCAUCUUCAGCAAUACUGCAGAAAUUUACAGCAGCUUUCUUCCUUUCUUUUCUUUUCUUUCUUUUGAGAUUUUGUCCACCAUGAGUGGCUAAAUUCCAUCCUUUUCUAGUUGAAGUUGGUGAAUUUCAGAUUUUGUGAUGAAUUGGGAGAUUUAAAUCUCCAUUGUUAAACUUCUAUUUAUUAUCAAUAUUUAUGCAAUUUGAGCUUUCCAUAAUUAUUACUUUGCUUUUAGAAUCAAUAAGGGCCCAUUGCUUUUAAAUUGCUUAAGUAAUAUUGUUUGAAUGAUUUAGGUCCGUAAUUGCUUAGGUUGUUCAAAUACACAUUUAAUCAAAUUGCAUAAUCUAAACUUGACCACGCGGUUGGCAAGGAUAGAAUUGGAUUUCUCUAAG